UGCUGGGGUUCGAGGGCGAGCCCUUGAAAGACCCCCGAAGGGAGACCCUCACUCAAGCCUCGGGACAGCCGCGGACCCAAGAAGACACUGAGACCG
rnacentral:pre_miRNA from 7 species